AUUGAACGCUGGCGGCAUGCCUUACACAUGCAAGUCGAACGGUAACGGGCCUUCGGGUGCCGACGAGUGGCGAACGGGUGAGUAAUGUAUCGGAACGUACCUUUCAGUGGGGGAUAACGUAGCGAAAGUUACGCUAAUACCGCAUAUUCUGUGAGCAGGAAAGCAGGGGAUCGCAAGACCUUGCGCUGAUUGAGCGGCCGAUAUCAGAUUAGCUAGUUGGUGAGGUAAAGGCUCACCAAGGCGACGAUCUGUAGCGGGUCUGAGAGGAUGAUCCGCCACACUGGAACUGAGACACGGUCCAGACUCCUACGGGAGGCAGCAGUGGGGAAUUUUGGACAAUGGGGGCAACCCUGAUCCAGUCAUGCCGCGUGAGUGAAGAAGGCCUUCGGGUUGUAAAGCUCUUUCGGCCGGGAAGAAAUCGCACGGGCUAAUACCCUGUGUGGAUGACGGUACCGGAAUAAGAAGCACCGGCUAACUACGUGCCAGCAGCCGCCGUAAUAC
rnacentral:rRNA from 1 species